AACGAACGCUGGCGGCAUGCCUAACACAUGCAAGUCGAACGAGACCUUCGGGUCUAGUGGCGCACGGGUGCGUAACGCGUGGGAACCUGCCCUUAGGUUCGGAAUAACUCCCCGAAAGGGGUGCUAAUACCGGAUAAUGUCUUCGGACCAAAGAUUUAUCGCCUUUGGAUGGGCCCGCGUUGGAUUAGCUAGUUGGUAGGGUAAAAGCCUACCAAGGCGACGAUCCAUAGCUGGUCUGAGAGGAUGAUCAGCCACACUGGGACUGAGACACGGCCCAGACCCCUAGGGGGGGAAGCAGUGGGGAAUAUUGGACAAGGGGCGAAAGCCUGAUCCAGCAAUGCCGGGUGAGUGAUGAAGGCCUUAGGGUUGUAAAGCUCUUUUACCCGGGAUGAUAAUGACAGUACCGGGAGAAUAAGCCCCGGCGAACCCCGU
rnacentral:rRNA from 1 species